rnacentral:rRNA from 1 species
ACUCCUACGGGAGGCAGCAGUGGGGAAUUUUGGACAAUGGGCGCAAGCCUGAUCCAGCCAUGCCGCGUGCAGGAAGAAGGCCUUCGGGUUGUAAACUGCUUUUGUCAGGGAAGAAAUCCUCUGGGUUAAUACCUCGGAGGGAUGACGGUACCUGAGAAUAAGCACCGGCUAACUACGUGCCAGCAGCCGCGGUAAUACGUAGGGUGCGAGCGUUAAUCGGAAUUACUGGGCUAAAGCGUGCGCAGGCGGCUUUGCAAGACAGAUGUG